rnacentral:rRNA from 1 species
AGAGUUUGAUCCUGGCUCAGGACGAACGCUGGCGGCGUGCUUAACACAUGCAAGUGGUGCGACGAACCAGGGCUUGCCCUGGGGCCAAGCCGCGAACGGGUGAGUAACACGUGAGUAACCUGCCCCGAUGACCGGGACAACCCGAGGAAACUCGGGCUAAUACCGGAUGUGGCGCACGGAUUUAAGUCUGUGCGCUAAAGGAAGCUUCGGCCUCCGCAUUGGGAGGGGCUCGCGGCCCAUUAGCUUGUUGGUGGGGUAACGGCCUACCAAGGCAACGAUGGGUAGCUGGUCUGAGAGGACGAUCAGCCACACUGGGACUGAGACACGGCCCAGACUCCUACGGGAGGCAGCAGUGGGGAAUCUUGCGCAAUGCGCGAAAGCGUGACGCAGCAACGCCGCGUGGGGGAAGACGGCCUUCGGGUUGUAAACCCCUUUCAGGAGGGACGAAGGUUCACCGGUUAAUAGCCGUGUGGAUUGACGGUACCUCCAGAAGAAGCUCCGGCUAACUACGUGCCAGCAGCCGCGGUAAUAC